rnacentral:lncRNA from 1 species
CUACUUGUUUGUUUUCUCCGUUUGUUGGCUUCUCAUUUCCUUCCUAAUCUUAAUUAUUCUCUCUCUACUUAUAAAUAUUCACCUAUUGUUAUAAUAAUUAUAAUAAAGAAGGGGAAUGAAGAGUUGCAAGGUAAUUAAUUAUGAGAGAAAUGUUCACUUUAUUGCUAUAUAAUUAUGAUAAUAAAAUAUAAAGAGAAUGAAGAGUUGCAAGGGUAAUAAAUUUUGAGAGCUAUAAUAUAAAAUAAAGAGAAUGAAGAGUUGCGAGGGUAAUAAAUUUGGAGAGCUAUAUAUAAUAUUUGUGUAGCAAAGAGGUGGCCAGCCGAUGGUCAUUAUUUUUGCAAAAAUGCAUGAUUAUUAAAUAAAAUUUUCAUUUUUCUCUAAAUACAUUAGUUGAUUACUUAUUACUUUCAUUGUAUUUUUUUGCUUUUUACAGAAGAAAAAUGUGUAUAAGUUCUAAAAGUUCAUACGGAGCAUGCAAUGAUGGAAAUGGAUAUUGGAAAUUUUCACGGAUCGGAGGUUGAAAUCCAUCUAUUCACAAAGUUAGUUUUUAACAUUAUCUAAUAUAUUUUCAUAUUUUGAGAAAAUUCUCUUUUAAUAUUUAGUUUUUAGGUAAUUGUCGGAGGAAUUCAAAUCGGUGCUUUCACUGAUUUACAUACUUUGG